rnacentral:rRNA from 1 species
UACGUAGGGGGCAAGCGUUGUCCGGAUUUAUUGGGCGUAAAGAGCGUGUAGGCGGCCAUACAGGUCAGCUGUGAAAACUCGAGGCUCAACCUCGAGACGCCGGUUGAAACCGUAUGGCUAGAGUCCGGAAGAGGAGAGUGGAAUUCCCGGUGUAGCGGUGAAAUGCGCAGAUAUCGGGAAGAACACCCGUGGCGAAGGCGGCUCUCUGGGACGGUACUGACGCUGAGACGCGAAAGCGUGGGGAGCGAACAGG